rnacentral:misc_RNA from 1 species
GAUGAAGAACGUAGUGAAAUGCGAUAAGUAAUGUGAAUUGCAGAAUUCAGUGAAUCAUCGAAUCUUUGAACGCACAUUGCGCCCGCCAGUAUUCUGGCGGGGAUGCCUGUUCGAGCGUCAUUUCAACCAUCAAGCCCCAGGCUUGUGUUGGGGACCUGCGGCUGCCGCAGGCCCUGAAAACCAGUGGCGGGCUCGCUGUCACACCGGGCGUAGUAGAUUUUAUCUCGCUCAGGGCGUGCUGCGGGUUCCGGCCGUUAAAAAGCCUUUUUUACCCAAGGUUGACCUCGGAUCAGGUAGGAAGACCCGCUGAACUUAAGCAUAUCAAUAAGCGGAGGA